rnacentral:rRNA from 1 species
GACGAACGCUGGCGGCGUGCUUAACACAUGCAAGUCGAGCGGAAAGGCCCUUCGGGGUACUCGAGCGGCGAACGGGUGAGUAACACGUGAGUAACCUGCCCUAGGCUUUGGGAUAACCCCGGGAAACCGGGGCUAAUACCGGCUAUGACCUGGUGCCGCAUGGUGUUGGGUGGAAAGUUGUUUCGGCCUGGGAUGGGCUCGCGGCCUAUCAGCUUGUUGGUGGGGUGAUGGCCUACCAAGGCGAUGACGGGUAGCCGGCCUGAGAGGGGGACCGGCCACACUGGGACUGAGACACGGCCCAGACUCCUACGGGAGGCAGCAGUGGGGAAUAUUGCACAAUGGGCGGAAGCCUGAUGCAGCGACGCCGUGUGAGUGAUGAAGGCCUUCGGGUUGUAAACCUCUUUCAGCAGGGACGAAGCGUGAGUGACGGUACCGGCAGAAGAAGCGCCGGCCAACUACGUG